GGGGCCAAUGGGGCUAGUCUUGUCCCACCAACCAUCCCGGUUUCCAAAGGGACCUGCUCACUGCCUGGCUUCAGCCACCUGAGGCCAAGUACUAGGUACCAGGUACUCUGGGGAGUGAGAGCUGAUGGACUGAGGCCUCAGCUGUACUUGCAAAACCCAUUCAGGGACACAGCCCCCUGCACAGGUCAGGUCAGCAGAGCUGAGAGAGACUCAGAUGCCAGGUGGGGAAGAGCGUCCAGGGCUGGCAUAGAUGACUUGGAUGUAGCAGUGGUAGGCCAUGAGAUGCCUCAGUUGACAGUGCUUUAUCUUUUCCACCCUGAUAGAAAUCCAGUCCUUUCCCACUGUCGCAGAACAUACACCUCUGUCAAUUAUGCCACACGGGUCAUGAUUCGAGUUUUAUGUGCACGGGGCAGUUUAGUCAUGUUUGAUAAAUACCUCCAAACACUGUUCACUCAUUCGGUAGACUUCUCCUAAGCACUUACUAAGCCAUGGGAUAGGAACCAGAGCAGCACCCACUCCAGCGGGAGCAGAUGAGGGCCUUUUCACGGAGAAGGGAGCAAAUGAAACAUUCUCUCGAGCUGUGCCCCCUCUUCCACAACUUCUUCCGAGGUCAAUCAGGCAGAUAUGCCAAUCACCAAGACUGCAGAGCAGUCAUGAGAUCAUGAGUUCUGACCUGAAAUCAGCCAUACAAACAGCUUCAACCCUCUAGGCCUCAGGUAUCCCAUCUGUAUGAUGGGGAUAAAAGGAGCCCUGGGUAGCACUGAGAGCCAGUAGGAGGAGGCUUAAACCACAAAGGUAAUGCCCCUCAUCAUCACUGUUCAGUCACUCCUGCAGAGGAAGGCAGAGGGAGCCAGGGACCAGGGUCCCCUCCUCAGGAAGGGCUCUCAAAUCUGUCCUCAUGUCCUGCCAGUCCACACCUGCUCUAAGUAAGUCUCCUGGCUAGGCCACCUCCGCCUCUUCUCACCAGAGCCAUGCUACAACCUAGACUAGAACUAGUCACCCUUCCCGCCCCAGGCAGAGGCAAAAGGCAAAAUGACACAACUCAAUACCCUGUUUAAUCCUGUUCAACUUCAAUGCUAGGACGGAGCUGGGGAAGAAGACAGGUCUUUACCACGACUCACCUGCAAACAAGGUCACUACCCACAAGACCAGGACCGGUCUGACCUGGAGGUAACCCCAAGAGUAUGAAGGAAGGUCCUCUCUCCACCUUAAAAUGUCCCUCCCAGUAUCUGCAUGGCUUCAGUUCAUUCCAUUAGACUGAAUUUUCUUUGGAGGCUAAAGACUUUUGGGGGCUGGAGAGUUCCCUGUGAAUAACUGCGAACUUUUUUGGCAAGUGAGCAAGUCAUUGCACUAAACACUAAUUUAAACCUAUGAGCCAGGAAUUCUUGUUAUGCCCACUUCACAGAUGAGCAAAAGGAGACGGAUUCGGAAACAUGCCCCAGGUCACACAGCUACAGUAAGAGGCAGACCCAGGAAUCAAACAUAAGCUGUCCAACAGUAGAGCCCAAGAUCUUAAUCUUCACACCAUAACCCAGCAGGGACUUGGCUUAGGAAGGUGGUUUAUAAACCGUUUUCCAAAAAGUCCUAGAGUUGCCUGGUAGCUGCUCAGGAGCCACCAAAGGCAGCAGAAGGAGCAGAGGGCAAGGCUCCAGUCCCCGCCCCCACUUUAACCAAUGCAGCUUUCUUAAGCAGAAUCUCAAUUUUUAAAAAGAAACCAUUUCUAAUUAGUUUCUUGUUUCAAUGUAAUUGUAAAAGUAGAUCUCACCAGCAAAAACAGUUCUGACAUUUUCUUCUUUAGGAAAACCCCAGCUCACACUUUACAGAAUUUCAUUCCCAAGGGAUCUUCUUCUGUGUGGUGGGAUGAGACACAAGAGAGGUUUUCAAGAAAAACUUUGAAGCCUUCAGAAUCUAGCUGAGAGUCACUGAACUCAGGGCCUUGGAAACCAAGGGUCUCUUCCUUUCUUCCCUAGCUCUCUUGGGUCCAGAAAAGAAAAUGUGAUCACAAGGUCCAGAAAUGUAGCUGGCACCAGUAAAUAGAGUAGGGAACCCAACUCCUUCCACUGACACACAUAGACACACACACUCUCUUUUAGCCUGUUUUCAGCAAUGGACUCAGAUGGGGUGACCCAUGAGUGGUCUUUGACCCCUGAUCAGCGACAACCAUUUAUGGGGCAUCCCAGGACAUUCACGUGGGAACCACGAGCGAGGAUCCUCAAAUCAAAGUGAAUCUAGGAUAGACAGAGGGAUCAUGGCUCUGAUGGGGCCCUGAUCUCAUCUCCCUUUGCAUGGAGACAGGGAUGACCUUAGAGGACAGGCCAGGACUGAGAACAGUUUGGGGCAAAGGAGUCAGGACACCCUCUGGCUUCCCAGCUCAUUGCCAGGGCGCAGAGAAUCCCGGAGCAUCAUGGACAAAAUCCUGGGAAAUGACACACGGCUCAUAACUGAACUUGGUCUCCUCAUUCCCUCCCCU
rnacentral:lncRNA from 1 species